rnacentral:tRNA from 13 species
UUAUUAUUACGAGGAUAGAACUGGGGACCUUUAGGUUCCGAGCCAAAGAUCCUAACCACUAGACAAAAAAAA